rnacentral:rRNA from 1 species
AGAGUGAACGCUGGCGGCAGGCCUAACACAUGCAAGUCGAACGGCAGCACAGGGGAGCUUGCUCCCUGGGUGGCGAGUGGCGGACGGGUGAGGAAUACAUCGGAAUCUGCCCAAUCGUGGGGGAUAACGUAGGGAAACUUACGCUAAUACCGCAUACGACCUUCGGGUGAAAGCGUGGGACCGCAAGGCCACGCGCGAUUGGAUGAGCCGAUGUCGGAUUAGCUUGUUGGCGGGGUAAAAGCCCACCAAGGCGACGAUCCGUAGCUGGUCUGAGAGGAUGAUCAGCCACACUGGAACUGAGACACGGUCAGACUCCGUACGGGAGCAGCAGUGGGAAUAUUGGACAAGUGGCGCAAGCCUGAUCCAGCCAUCGCCGCGGUGUGUGAAGGAAGGUCCUUCGGGUUAGUAAAGCGUACUUUUAGACCGGAAAGAAAGCUACGUACGUUAAGUAGUCGAGUAGUCC